CGAACGCUGGCGGCGUGCUUAACACAUGCAAGUCGAACGGAAAGGCCCCUUCGGGGGUACUCGAGUGGCGAACGGGUGAGUAACACGUGAGUAACCUGCCCUUGACUUCGGGAUAACUUCAGGAAACUGGGGCUAAUACCGGAUAGGAAUCCUUGCUGCAUGGUGGGGGUUGGAAGGCUUCGGCGGUUUUGGAUGGACUCGCGGCUUAUCAGCUUGUUGGUGGGGUAGUGGCUUACCAAGGCUUUGACGGGUAGCCGGCCUGAGAGGGCGACCGGCCACAUUGGGACUGAGAUACGGCCCAGACUCCUACGGGAGGCAGCAGUGGGGAAUAUUGCACAAUGGGCGGAAGCCUGAUGCAGCAACGCCGCGUGCGGGAUGACGGCCUUCGGGUUGUAAACCGCUUUCAGCAGGGGCGAAGCUUGUGGUGACGGUACCUGCAGAAGAAGCACCGGCUAACUACGUG
rnacentral:rRNA from 1 species